rnacentral:lncRNA from 1 species
AUAUGGCAUAGUUAGGCAUCCCCUACUAUUUGUAAUUUUAUAUGCCAAUCCUCAUAAUGCGGUUUAAAUUCAGCUUUUUUUUAAUCAUAUGGAAUUCAGCUUGUUUUCCAAGUAGCAAACAUGAACAAGCUUUCUGUAAAAAAGAAUCAAAAGAGAGAGAGAGAGAGAAAGAACAAGCUGGUCAUUUGGCCAUAGUUCAAGAUAUUUGCAGCAGCUUCAUUCAUUUGCAAUUCUAACCUUGUGGGCAACUAUAACCACUUGAACAUGUAGCCUUCAGCAUUUCUUGUGGACAUAUUCUUGUUU